rnacentral:rRNA from 1 species
GUACACUCCUGCGGGAGGCAGCAGUGGGGAAUAUUGGACAAUGGGCGCAAGCCUGAUCCAGCCAUGCCGCGUGAGUGAUGAAGGCCCUAGGGUUGUAAAGCUCUUUCACCGGUGAAGAUAAUGACGGUAACCGGAGAAGAAGCCCCGGCUCACUUCGUGCCAGCAGCCGCGGUAAUACGAAGGGGGCUAGCGUUGUUCGGAUUUACUGGGCGUAAAGCGCACGUAGGCGGACUAUUAAGUCAGGGGUGAAAUCCCGGGGCUCAACCCCGGAACUGCCUUUGAUACUGGUAGUCUUGAGUUCGAGAGAGGUGAGUGGAAUUCCGAGUGUAGAGGUGAAAUUCGUAGAUAUUCGGAGGAACACCAGUGGCGAAGGCGGCUCACUGGCUCGAUACUGACGCUGAGGUGCGAAAGCGUGGGGAGCAAACAGGAUUAGAAACCCUUGUAGUCCC